GAAUUCACUACANUUAGGNCACNAANUNGGAUUAGAUACCCUACUAUGCCUAACCAUAAACCUUCAACCUACACUAACAUCGCCAGGUGACUACGAGCAAAGCUUAAAACCCAAAGGACUUGACGGUACCCCACAUCCCCCUAGAGGAGCCUGUCCUUUAAAUCGAUAGUCCCCGAUUGACCUCACCAUUUUUAGCCCUCAGUCUGUAUACCUCCGUCGUCAGCUUACCGCAUGAGCGACACAA
rnacentral:rRNA from 1 species